AUUCUACCCAUGUGGGGAAGGAUGAGAAGCUUCGACUAAGGUUCGAUUCGAGCGCAGCGAGAAAGCGUUGCCGCAGGCAACGACCCGAAGGGCGAAGCGCGCAGCGCUGAGUCAUCCUUCUCCCACCACCA
rnacentral:sRNA from 3 species